rnacentral:rRNA from 1 species
AACGAACGCUGGCGGCAUGCCUAACACAUGCAAGUCGAACGAGACCUUCGGGUCUAGUGGCGCACGGGUGCGUAACGCGUGGGAACCUGCCCUUAGGUUCGGAAUAACUCCCCGAAAGGGGUGCUAAUACCGGAUAAUGUCUUCGGACCAAAGAUUUAUCGCCUUUGGAUGGGCCCGCGUUGGAUUAGCUAGUUGGUAGGGUAAAAGCCUACCAAGGCGACGAUCCAUAGCUGGUCUGAGAGGAUGAUCAGCCACACUGGGACUGAGACACGGCCCAGACUCCUACGGGAGGCAGCAGUGGGGAAUAUUGGACAAUGGGCGAAAGCCUGAUCCAGCACUGCCGCGUGAGUGAUGAAGGCCUUAGGGUUGUAAAGCUCUUUUACCCGGGAUGAUAAUGACAGUACCGGGAGAAUAAGCCCCGGCUAACUCCGUG